rnacentral:rRNA from 1 species
AUUGAACGCUGGCGGCAGGCCUAACACAUGCAAGUCGAGCGGAUGACGGGAGCUUGCUCCUUGAUUCAGCGGCGGACGGGUGAGUAAUGCCUAGGAAUCUGCCUGGUAGUGGGGGACAACGUUUCGAAAGGAACGCUAAUACCGCAUACGCCCUACGGGAGAAAGCAGGGGACCUUCGGGCCUUGCGCUAUCAGAUGAGCCUAGGUCGGAUUAGCUAGUUGGUGGGGUAAUGGCUCACCAAGGCGACGAACCGUAACUGGUCUGAGAGGAUGAUCAGUCACACUGGAACUGAGACACGGUCCAGACUCCUACGGGAGGCAGCAGUGGGGAAUAUUGGACAAUGGGCGAAAGCCUGAUCCAGCCAUGCCGCGUGUGUGAAGAAGGUCUUCGGAUUGUAAAGCACUUUAAGUUGGGAGGAAGGGCAGUAAGCUAAUAUCUUGCUGUUUUGACGUUACCGACAGAAUAAGCACCGGCUAACUCUGUGCCAGCCGCCGCCGUAA